GAGGGUAUAGCUCAAUGGUAGAGUGCAUGUUUAGCAUGCAUGAGGUCCUGGGUUCAAUUCCCAGUACCUCUG
rnacentral:tRNA from 1 species